rnacentral:tRNA from 1 species
UCCCUGGUGGCUCAGAUGGUAAAGCAUCUGCCUAUAAUGUGGGAGACCCAGGUUUGAUCCCUGGGUUGGGAA